rfam:Asian citrus Psyllid, Diaphorina citri - Florida Strain, whole genome shotgun sequence.
GCUUCGGUGGCGUAGUGGUCAAGACGCUCGCCUAAUAAACAGGAGGGCGUGGGUUCGAUCCCAGCCGAGGCA